rnacentral:misc_RNA from 1 species
GCAAACUUGGUCAUUUAGAGGAAGUAAAAGUCGUAACAAGGUUUCCGUAGGUGAACCUGCGGAAGGAUCAUUAUCGUUGGGCUCCUGCCCAUUCGAGAUAACACCCUUGCCUUUUUGAGUACCUUUUCGUUUCCUCGGCAGGCACGCCUGCCAACGGGGACCCUUCAAAACGCUUUGUAAUACCUGUCAUUGUCUGAUAUAACAAGCAAAAAUCAAAACUUUCAACAACGGAUCUCUUGGUUCUGGCAUCGAUGAAGAACGCAGC